CCCGGCCUUUGCACUGGCCCAAAGAGACAUGAGGGAGCCCAGGACUUAGACUCAGAUGAUCUUGUCCGAAUCUGGCACUGCCAGGAGAGGCAGAGAGAGGAUCAUGACGGAGCGGUUAAUGGCAUAUGGUCGGUGGACCCAGGCUGUCUGGAUGUGAAUCCUGAAGCUGCCUCCUACCAGGUCUGUGACCUUGAACAAGCUACUUAAUACCACUAUGCCUCAGUCUCCUCUUGUGUAAAAUGGGGAUGAUAAGACUAGCACCCCGCUCAUGGGGUUUUUGUGAGGGCUGAGUUAACUCAACAUAAGUCUCCUUCACAGUAAGCUCUAGAUAAGCACACUAUUUGUUAUUCAUAGAAGCAAUGGGAAUAAUCCUGUGCUGUUGCACAAAGCAAAGGCCCUGCUGUUAUUACUAGUUGUGUGAGUUUGGGGUGAAUUAACCUCUCUGAAUCUCAUUUUCCCCAUCUGUAAAAUGGGGAUGAAAUCAGAACCCCCUCCCCCCCACCCUGCCCCAACAAGACUGUGCCUUAUUGUUAAGCACAAGUUUGUUUGUUGGAAAUGGAAAUCUGUAGUCGAUCAUGUCUUUGCUGCUGAAGAUUGUGCCAGGCUCCACAUGCCCUGCUCUAGGAAGUUUGAAGUUGUGGACCAAAACAUCUCAAAUAUUUAAAAUCCAAGAAGGACCAAAAAAAUAAAGGCAAGUCAUGACUCAUUCUUUGGGGUCACAUGUCUCAUAUCCCAAAGGGUUUAGGAGGAACUUGCUUUUCCUGAAUCCACAUGUGAUUGCUCCAGAGGGACCUCCUUUGACUACACCAGGAGAGCUAAAGGGCUGAUGGGUUCUGAAGAGCGGAGGAAUGCUGUACAGAUCUGGGAUGUGUGAUGGAGCAGAGCUACUGAUUCUAUUAUUCCCGAUUCUGCCACUUCUUUGCUGUGUAACCUUUGGCAUGUUAGUUAACCUCUCUGAAUCUGAGCUUUCUUCUCAAAAGGAAGAUUAAUAAGGUAUCAUAAAAGAAUCUGCAAAUGUUUGUUCCUUUCUCUUGGAAAAAACUUAGCAUCUGGGUUUAUCAGGCCAACCUUUGGAUCUGGGUUGAUGCAUGGAACAUGGUUUAUGAGCUAUAAGAAGUGAAAAUGCAGUGUGAUUUUAAAGUUCCGAAGGUACUUAUUAUAAAACAAUAGGUGUUUUUUUUGUUUUGUUUUGUUUUUUUGCAGUACGUGGGCCUCUCACUGUUGUGGCCUCUCCCAUUGCGGAGCACAGGCUCCGGACGCGCAGGCUCAGCGGCCAUGGCUCACGGGCCCAGCCGCUCCGCGGCAUGUGGGAUCUUCCCGGACCAGGGCAUGAACCCGUGUCCCCUGCAUCGGCAGGUGGACUCUCAACAACUGCACCACCAAGGAAGCCCCAAGUUGACUGCAGAGCUGUCGGGCUGACAGAACUUGCCCACCAGCUGGGCGAUGAGCCCCGUCCUUGGCUGUGAACAGGGACGCCGAGGUGGAACGUGUGCAGCCGAGCGGGGGAGACAUCUCAACGUGUCACUUCCCUUCGGAGGGAAAACAAGGCUUCCAGAGAGUCUGAGAGUCCACAAGUUUUAAGAAAACCAGCUCAUGUCUGAAAUGGGAAGAAAAGCUAAUUAUAUGCUCUGGAGCGAUGAGUCCCCAAUGUGACUACAUAGCAGAAUUGCCAGGAACACUUGGAGAAAGAUAAAUUCCUAAGCACCUGCCUGGACUUAUUGAAUCAGAGUCACCCUCCUUCCCCUACUCCCCCAUGAGGGAAUGGGGGAGCAGGAAUCUGAAUACGUUCACACCCCAAACCAUUUGGACGAGAUGACUGACGAAACUCCACUCUGAGAGCAUUCAUCCACAGGGCAACCUUGAAUCACUGCUCUCGCCACAGUCAGAGGAGGGCCAUAGCCAGCACUUUGCUGUCUGUGAGGCGAAUAUGUUAACAGGACAAUAAAGGUCACAAUUUCAGAGGAAUUGAGAGGACAAUCUGAAUGAGAGAGGAUUUUGAAAAAUAAAAUGAGUAGAAGUACA